rnacentral:rRNA from 1 species
ACGGGAGGCAGCAGUGGGGAAUAUUGGACAAUGGGGGGAACCCUGAUCCAGCGACGCCGCGUGAGUGAAGAAGUAUUUCGGUAUGUAAAGCUCUAUCAGCAGGGAAGAUGAUGACGGUACCAGACUAAGAAGCCCCGGCUAACUACGUGCCAGCAGCCGCGGUAAUACGUAGGGGGCAAGCGUUAUCCGGAUUUACUGGGUGUAAAGGGAGCGUAGGCGGCCAAGCAAGUCAGAUGUGAAAACCCGGGGCUUAACUCCGGGAUUGCAUUUGAAACUGUCUGGCUAGAGUGCAGGAGAGGCAAGCGGAAUUCCUAGUGUAGCGGUGAAAUGCGUAGAUAUUAGGAAGAACACCAGUGGCGAAGGCGGCUUGCUGGACUGAGACUGACGCUGAGGUUCGAAAGCGUGGGGAGCAAACAGGAUUAGAUACCCUGGUA